UGCGGAAGGAUCAUUGUCGAAACCUGCCAAGCAGAACGACCAGCGAACACGUUUAACUCUAUCGGGCGUCGAGAAUAUGUGGGCAGCCUUGUGCUCCUACUCUUCCCGCGCACGAGCCGUUGUGGUUGCUCCUCGUGGGCAUCCUCCUCGGCAAUUCAACGAACCCCGGCGCGGAAAGCGUCAAGGAACAUAAACUACAUAUGAGCUCCCUCCUACUGCCCGGUUAGCCGGUGCGUGGGUGCGGCGCCAUGUCAUAACAUUAAACGACUCUCGGCAACGGAUAUCUCGGCUCUCGCAUCGAUGAAGAACGUAGCGAAAUGCGAUACUUGGUGUGAAUUGCAGAAUCCCGUGAACCAUCGAGUCUUUGAACGCAAGUUGCGCCCGAGGCCUUUGGCUGAGGGCACGUCUGCCUGGGCGUCACGCAUCGCAACCCCUCAACCCACUCUAUGUGUGAAGGGGGGGAAGUUGGCUUCCCGUGCCUCACCGGGCGCGGUUGGCCUAAAUUUGGAGCCUAAGGCAUUGGGUUGCCGCGGCGAUAGGUGGUGAACAAGGCCUCGGCCGUGCAAACAACCAGUCGCGCGGCCCUUUGACAGUACGUGCUCGUAGGACCCAAUGAUGUUGCCUCGUUGCAACACAAACGUUGCGACCCCAGGUCAGGCGGGGCUACCCGCUGAAUUUAAGC
rnacentral:rRNA from 1 species